AUUGAACGCUGGCGGCAUGCCUAACACAUGCAAGUCGAGCGGAUGAUUGGAGCUUGCUCCUGGAUUCAGCGGCGGACGGGUGAGUACUGCCCUUGAAUCUGCCUUGUAUUGCGGGAUAACGUCCGGAAACGGGCUCUAAUACCGCAUCCGUCCUGAUAGAGAAAUUGGGUGAUCUUCGGACCUCUCGCUAUCAUAUUAUCCUAGGUCGGAUUAGCUAGUUGGUGGGGUAACGGCCUUAGCAGGCGACGAUCCGUAACUGGUCUGAGAGGAUGAUCAGUCACACUGGAACUGAGAAACGGUAGAGACUCCUAGGGGAAGAAGCAGUGGGGAAUACUGGAGAAGGGGGGAAAGCCGGAUACAGCCAAGCCGCGUGUGUGAAGAAGGUCUUCGGAUUGGAAAGCACUUUAAGUGGGGAGGAAGGGAAGUAAGUUAAUACGGUGCUGUUUUGACGGUACCGGCAGAAUAAGCACCGGCUAACUUCGUG
rnacentral:rRNA from 1 species